GGAGAAUUGCUCCCUCCCAGAAAACGACGCUUCGUGGGUGCAUUGUUUUUUUUCGAGAGGCAAAGAAUAGUUACAAUGUUGCAAAAAAAAGCAGAACUAAGACAUAUAUCUGGCUGAAAGGAAGACAUUUGCUGUCAAGAGUUGCACUGUGACACCUGGCUGGUGACGAACAGAGGGUUAUGAAUGUUCUGGGACUCAGGCUGCAUUGGUUUUACAGUCCUGGGCUGAUGGGUGCGUUUCCUGCAUAGCCAACAGCUCAGAAUGGAUUUCGUUUUGGGUAUUGCUGGUGAAGCGGGAGGGAACCGCAGUGAGCCCUGCUGUUUAUAUAAACUUCGACCAUUGGUGAGUUUGGAUUUGCCAAAAUACCACCUUUCCAUAUCCCAAACCUUUUUGCGGCUAAUAGGACGGCCAGCUGAAUUUCACCGAGAAAUGUAGCGCGAACAGUUUAGCAGGCGUCGGGGGACAGUUACACCGCGUUAAAUUGUGAAUUAUCUAUGAAAAAUUCGCAAACCAGAUUGAGCUCCUGACCUCGAAAACUGAUUUACUUCCCGAUUCCAGCUAAUGAUAACGAUCUCUAUAUUUCUUGUUUAGUAGAUGCAACUGUUCUGAUCCAACUUGCUGUUUCUUGAUCACUUUCCCCUCACUGCAGUGUAACACACACACUGUUGUUCCAGUCUAGUUUACGUGCGGCACAGCUACAGCUCAGAACCUGGGAAUUGGGAUUCCUUAGAGCUUCGUGAUUCAGUCCCGCGAUUUAGCAGGAAUAAGACUAUAUGUGAAAAACCACUCCAGGAACUCUCUCUCUCUCUCUCUCUCUCCCCCCGUCUCUCUGGGAUCUAUCGCCUCGAGGUUUUAUUUAGAUCAAUGUUUCACGUCGCUGUCUCUGUUACCUACUGCUGACCCUUAUUCAAACAGGCAGUAAAAAAAAACCUACUCCGGCGUCACUUGUUUAAUAUUUCCUCCUCACCCAAAGUUACAAAACGAUUCCGUGGAAGAUUAUAACGUUUGAACGGAUUUCAUGGCUGGACCUGUACGGCUCAUUUAACUGCCCUAGUGUCAGAAUCCUGGCGAACAGAUUUCUAGCCUCCAUAUCCUGUUAUUUUAAAAUGA